rnacentral:RNase_P_RNA from 1 species
UAGGACAAAUAAUCGCGGCCCGAAUUUCGGGGUGAGGAAAGUCCGGGCUUCACAGGGCAGGAUGCCGGAUAACGUCCGGCGGAGGCGACUCCAGGGACAGUGCAACAGAAAUAUACCGCCCCGCGUUUCGGCGCGGGGUAAGGGUGGAAGGGCAGUGUAAGAGACUACCGCCUCUCUGGCAACAGAGGGGGCACAUGUAAACCCCAUCCGAAGCAAGACCGAACGAAAGCGUUGACGCGGCCCGCCAGCUUUGGGUAGGUUGCUUGAGGCGGCUGGCGACAGUCGUCCUAGAUAGAUGAUUAUUCCGGCUGCGGAUUUCCGCAGCCAAGACAUAACCCGGCUUAUCGUCCUGCUUA